UAGCCCUACAGUACCUCCACUACCAGCUUGGUAAUAGCACUGCGAUGAUGUGGAGCAACGUCGGUUCCUGACCGUGAAGGAGUUGGUUGAUAGUGCGUGGAAAGGAUCAGCUGAUGACCGUCGGGGUUGUGCAUGAGCGCUACUCUGGUUGGGUCGACGUUUGCUAAGCGGU
rnacentral:snoRNA from 1 species